CGGGUUUGAACGUAGGGAGACAGGGGUGGAAACAUCCUUUUCAGCAAUGACUGCCUACGAGGUGCUGCAUGGUUGUCGUCAGCUCGUGCCGUGAGGUGUCGGCUUAAGUGCCAUAACGAGCGCAACCCUUAUUUCCAGUUACUAACAGGUGAUGCUGAGGACUCUGGAGAGACUGCCAGCGUAAGCUGUGAGGAAGGUGGGGAUGACGUCAAAUCAGCACGGCCCUUACAUCCGGGGG
rnacentral:rRNA from 1 species